rnacentral:rRNA from 1 species
AUUGAACGCUGGCGGCAGGCCUAACACAUGCAAGUCGAACGAGUGGCGGACGGGUGAGUAAUGUCUGGGAAACUGCCUGACGGAGGGGGACAACUACUGGAACACGUAGCUACUACCGCAUACAAUCCGUUGUGCCCAGAUGGGAUUGGCUUGUCGGUGGGGUAACGGCUCACCAAGGCGACGAUCCCUACCUGGUCUGAGAGGAUGACCAGCCACACUGGAACUGAGACACGGUCCAGACUCCGACGGGAGGCAGCAGUGGGGAAUAUUGCACAAUGGGCGCAAGCCUGAUGCAGCCAUGCCGCGUGUAUGAAGAAGGCCUUCGGGUUGUAAAGUACUUUCAGCGGGGAGGCGUUACCCGCAGAGGAAGCACCGGCUAACUCCGUGCCAGCCGCCGCGGUAAUAC